ACGCUCGACACCUACUGGAGGCAGCAGUGGGGAAUAUUGCACAAUGGAGGAAACUCUGAUGCAGCGAUGCCGCGUGAGGGAAGAAGGUUUUCGGAUUGUAAACCUCUGUCUUUGGGGACGAUAAUGACGGUACCCAAGGAGGAAGCUCCGGCUAACUACGUGCAAGCAGCCGCGGUAAUCUGAGCGGGCUGGCAAGGC
rnacentral:rRNA from 1 species